AAAAAGCUAUGCUAGCGUUAGCUUUGACGUUUCAUUUAACGUCUAUUUUAAUUUUGGUACUAUAUUUCUUUUGUCAUUAUAAAUUUAUUUAAUUCGCUGUCACAAACGUAUCAAAUUACCUUCGUCUACCAAGAGCCUCAUUCAGCCCAAAACCUUCUGAAAACUUUGAGGAGUGCAAUGGGACAGAGACACCGAGUGGACUGGCUAUUCUGGGAGUGGACUUAUAUCAUGCACUGAGAAGCUGAACCUGCAGCAGAUUGAGGACCUCACCAUGCACAGGACUCACAGAAUGACGUUCACACAGCCGUCCGGCGUGUUCCUGGAACAGGAAAUACACCAGAGAGCAUGGCGAGAUGGAGAUGUGUCCACUCCUCCGUGGGGUCAG